rnacentral:rRNA from 1 species
GGAGGGGGCUAGCGUUGUUCGGAAUUACUGGGCGUAAAGCGCACGUAGGCGGGCUGGUUAGUUGGGGUGAAAUCCCGAGGCUCAACCUCGGAACUGCCUCAAUACUGCCAGUCUUGAGUUCGAGAGAGGUGAGUGGAAUUCCUAGUGUAGAGGUGAAAUUCGUAGAUAUUAGGAAGAACACCAGUGGCGAAGGCGGCUCACUGGCUCGAUACUGACGCUGAGGUGCGAAAGCGUGGGGAGCAAACAGGGAUUAGAUACCCUGGUAGUCCACGCCGUAAACGAUGAACGCUAGCCCGUCGGCAGGCAUGCCCUGUCGGUGGCGCAGCUAACGCAUUAAGCAUUCCGCCUGGGGAGUACGGUCGCAAGAUUA